GGAGAGGUGGCCGAGUGGCCUAAGGCGCAUCACUGGAAAUGAUGUGUGCUCCAAAAGGGCACCGUGGGUUCAAAUCCCACCCUCUCCGCCA
rnacentral:tRNA from 1 species